rnacentral:lncRNA from 10 species
GUUGUCUAGGGUUUGGUGAAAGCAAUGGUAUUGAAAGUGGUUUUCUCAUCAAAUUAGUUCCUGAGUCAUGUGUCGGACACUGUUUCUAUCUUGAGCAGCUUCUCUAGCCUUUCUAAAUCCUGUGACCUGCCUGUGAUCCUUUUAAGAUUUCUUUCUGUUUAAUCAGCCACAAACAGCUUCUGUUGCUUGCAACCCAGGCUCCUGAGAAGAGACUGGAGAAGCAGAUCACUUUAUUAAUGUGCUUCAUGUAGAGGGAGUAGAGAUUUCCACCUCUACCAUACCCAAAUAACUGGUAUUGGCUGUACCUUUCUAAUGUGAGCAACUUUAAAAUUGAACAGAAUAUAUGAAACCUCUCUUUUCAGACAUUGAACAGCAUGUAGCACAGCACCGUGAUUCCUGAAAGUAGGGAACAAAUGGGGCAAACCCUAUCACUCUAACUUUCUGCUGAAAAAUGCUGUCUAAAUUGCAGCACAAUGAGGGGGAACCCAAGCAGAGCAUAGUGGUCUUGCUGAGUUGAGGAGAUAGUUGAGCAGACUUUUCAAGGCAGAGUAUCAGAAAGGAGAGAAUAUAACAGCAAAACAGGCUCCUGGAAUCCCUGUGAAUCUGUUGCUGAAUACUAAGCUGCACAUGCAUAAGGUGAAACUUCACAGUGCGAUGCAAAGAACUACUGCGGAGCUGUGAGCUGAUUGGUUCCCAGGGCUCACUGGGCAAUGUUUGAGUUUCAACUCGCCAAUGUGAAGAAACCUUGCUGACUGUCCAGGGAAUUCAGUAGAAAUCCCAAAAGGGUAAGGCAUUAGGAGAAGGGCUAACUAAGCCGAAAAGUGAGGUAACUCUAGACUUCCUCCAACAAGGUUUAGAAAGCAGCCUCAAAAAGAGGAAGUUCAUCCGCUACUACCGUAACUGCCAGCCAAAACAAAUUUUACCAUUUUUAAAACAACAAAAUACAGACAUUUAACAACAUUAAAUUCAGAAUGUUAAAAAUACUAGAUAUGCAAAUAAGUAGGCAAAUAGAACCCAAAAUCAGGAGAAAAAUCAUUUAAUAGAAACAAAC